AUGGGCUGACACUCUAUCCACUGAGCCAAAGCAGCUAGGAGCAGCUUUACGUGGAAGACAGUUAAAUUGCCUGCAGAUCAGCUUUCAAGACUUGAAUUUAAGCUCUGUUGAGAGAAAGGGAGAGGAAGAGAGAGAUAGAAACACCA